ensembl:misc_RNA Metazoa_SRP Metazoan signal recognition particle RNA
GCCGGGCACGAUGGCAGGUGCCUGUAAUCCCAGCUACUUGGGAGGCUGAGGCAGGAGAAUUGCUUGAGCCCAGGAGGCAGAGAUUGCGGUGAGCCAAGAUUGCACCACUGCACUCCAGCCUGGGCAACAGAGUGAGACUCUGUCUCAU